rnacentral:rRNA from 1 species
GAUGAACGCUGGCGGCGUGCCUAAUACAUGCAAGUCGAGCGAACGGACCAGAAGCUUGCGUCUCUGAUGUUAGCGGCGGACGGGUGAGUAACACGUGGAUAACCCACCUAUAAGACUGGGAUAACGUCGGGAAACCGGAGCUAAUACCAGUUGAUAUUUUGAACCUCAUGGUUCAAAAGAGAAAGACGGUCUUGCUGUUACUUACAGAUCGAUCCGCGCUGCAUGAGCUAGAUGGUAAGGUAACGGCUUACAAAGGGAACGAUGCAUAGACCACGUGAGAGGGUGAUAGGCCGGUUGGGAACCGAGACAGGGUCCAGAGGCCUGCGGGAGGCAGCAGUAGGCUAUCGUCCGCAACGGGCGGGAGCCUUGCGGAGCAGGGCAGAGUCUGUGGUGACGGUCCUCGGAGCGGGAAACUCUGUUAUUAGGGAAGAACAUAUGUGUAAGGGGCCGUGCAGAACUUGACGGUACCUGAAGAAAAAGCCACGGCUAACUACGUG